ACUGGUUCUGUUAUAGAGGGUCUACUGGUUCUGUUAUAGAGGGUCUACUGGUUCUGUUAUAGAGGGUAUACAGGUUCUGUUAUAGAGGGUCUACUGGUUCUGUUAUAGAGGGUCUACUGGUUCUGUUAUAGAGGGUCUACUGGUUCUGUUAUAGAGGGUCUACUGGUUCUGUUAUAGAGGGUCUACUGGUUCUGUUAUAGAGGGUCUACUGGUUCUGUUAUAGAGGGUCUACUGGUUCUGUUAUAGAGGGUCUACUGGUUCUGUUAUAGAGGGUCUACUGGUUCUGCUAUAGAGGGUCUACUGGUUCUGUUAUAGAGGGUCUACUGGUUCUGUUAUAGAGGGUCUACUGGUUCUGUUAUAGAGGGUCUACUGGUUCUGUUAUAGAGGGUCUACUGGUUCUGUUAUAGAGGGUCUACUGGUUCUGUUAUAGAGGGUCUACUGGUUCUGUUAUAGAGGGUCUACAGGUUCUGUUAUAGUGGGUCUACUGGUUCUGUUAUAGAGGGUCUGUUAUAGCGGGUCUACUGGUUCUGUUAUACAGGGUCUACUGGUUCUGUUAUAGAGGGUCUACUGGUUCUGUUAUAGCGGGUCUGUUAUAGAGGGUCUACUGGUUCUGUUAUAGAGGGUCUACUGGUUCUGUUAUAGAGGGUCUACUGGUUCUGUUAUAGAGGGUCUACUGGUUCUGUUAUAGAGGGUCUGUUAUAGCGGGUCUACUGGUUCUGUUAUAGAGGGUCUACUGGUUCUGUUAUAGAGGGUCUGUUAUAGAGGGUCUACUGGUUCUGUUAUAGAGGGUCUAUUGGUUCUGUUAUAGAGGGUCUACUGGUUCUGUUAUAGAGGGUCUACUGGUUCUGUUAUAG